rnacentral:misc_RNA from 1 species
CCGAGUUCUCGAGCUUCGGCUCGAAUCUCCCACCCUUUGUGAACAUACCUCUGUUGCUUUGGCGGCUCGAGAGCGCCUCGUGCGAUCGCGACCGCCAGAGGACCUUAAAACUCCAGUCAGUAAACGUCUACGUCUGAUAAACAAGUUAAUAAACUA